GACGAACGCUGGCGGCGUGCCUAAUACAUGCAAGUCGAGCGGAGUUCUUUUGAAAGCUUGCUUUCAAAAGAACUUAGCGGCGGACGGGUGAGUAACACGUAGGCAACCUGCCCCUCAGACUGGGAUAACUACCGGAAACGGUAGCUAAUACCGGAUAAUUUCUUUUUUCUCCUGAGAGAAGAAUGAAAGACGGAGCAAUCUGUCACUGAGGGAUGGGCCUGCGGCGCAUUAGCUAGUUGGUGGGGUAACGGCCCACCAAGGCGACGAUGCGUAGCCGACCUGAGAGGGUGAACGGCCACACUGGGACUGAGACACGGCCCAGACUCCUACGGGUGGCAG
rnacentral:rRNA from 1 species